rnacentral:rRNA from 1 species
UACGUAGGGGGGCUAGCGUUGUCCGGAAUCAUUGGGCGUAAAGAGCGUGUAGGCGGUCCGGUAAGUCCGCUGUGAAAGUCGGGGGCUCAACCCUCGAAUGCCGGUGGAUACUGUCGGGCUAGAGUGCGGAAGAGGCGAGUGGAAUUCCUGGUGUAGCGGUGAAAUGCGCAGAUAUCAGGAAGAACACCGGUGGCGAAGGCGGCUCUCUGGGCCGUAACUGACGCUGAGGAGCGAAAGCAUGGGGAGCGAACAGG